rnacentral:rRNA from 1 species
GACGAACGCUGGCGGCGUGCCUAAUACAUGCAAGUCGAACGCAGUGGGGACGGGUGAGUAACACGUGGGUAACCUCCCCAUCAGAGGGGAUAACACUUGGAAACAGGUGCUAAAACGAUACUGAUGGAUGGACUCGCGGGGUCUUAGCUCGUUGGUCGGGUAACGGCUCACCAAGGACACGAUGCAUAGCCGACCUUAUAGGGUAAUCGGCCACACUGUGACUGGGACACGGCCCAGACUCCUACGUGAGGCAGCAGUAGGGAAUCGUCGGCAAUGGGCGAAAGUCUGACCGAGCAACGCCGCGUGAGUGAAGAAGGUUUUCGGAUCGUAAAGCUCUGUUGUUAGAGAAGCGGUAUCUAACCAGAAAGCCACGGCUAACUACGUGCCAGCAGCCGCGGUAAUUC